rnacentral:rRNA from 1 species
GAUGAACGCUGGCGGCGUGCCUAAUACAUGCAAGUCGAGCGAACAGACGAGGGGCUUGCUCCUCUGACGUUAGCGGCGGACGGGUGAGUAACACGUGGAUAACCUACCUAUAAGACUGGGAUAACUUCGGGAAACCGGAGCUAAUACCGGAUAAUAUAUUGAACCGCAUGGUUCAAUAGUGAAAGACGGUUUUGCUGUCACUUAUAGAUGGAUCCGCGCCGCAUUAGCUAGUUGGUAAGGUAACGGCUUACCAAGGCAACGAUGCGUAGCCGACCUGAGAGGGUGAUCGGCCACACUGGAACUGAGACACGGUCCAGACUCCUACGGGAGGCAGCAGUAGGGAAUCUGCCGCAAUGGGCGAAAGCCUGACGGAGCAACGCCGCGUGAGUGAUGAAGGUCUUCGGAUCGUAAAACUCUGUUAUUAGGGAAGAACAAAUGUGUAAGUAACUAUGCACGUCUUGACGGUACCUAAUCAGAAAGCCACGGCUAACUACGUG